rnacentral:rRNA from 1 species
CCCUUAGAUGUUCUGGGCCGCACGCGCGCUACACUGACGAUGGCAACGAGUUUUUCCUUCGCCGAAAGGUGUGGGUAAUCUUUUGAAACAUCGUCGUGCUGGGGAUAGAUCAUUGCAAUUUUUGAUCUUGAACGAGGAAUUCCUAGUAAGCGCGAGUCAUCAGCUCGCGUUGAUUACGUCCCUGCCCUUUGUACACACCGCCCGUCGCUACUACCGAUUGAAUGGUUUAGUGAGGACUCCUGAUUGGCGCCGCCGCCCCGGCAACGGAGCAGCGGACUGCCGAAAAGUUGUUCAAACUUGGUCAUUUAGAGGAAGUAAAAGCCGUAACA